CUUUCCUAAGUGAGUUAAGGCACUCUGAGUAUGCCACACCCUGGUUCCCUUAUUCUGUAAGACCGCAGAAGAGAGAAGGAGCCCAGAUGGCCCCAGGUGGGCUACUAAUCCCAGGAUUUUGAAAUCUUGAGUCUGGCCUCUGGAAGAAUUUCCCAUUCUGUACAAAGAUGAAGAAUAUACUGUUCCUUGUUCUGUUAACCUAUUUUUAUAAAACAGAAGGAUUUUUUUCCUCCCUACUGAAGGCUGUGAGCCAUGGGAAGCGUGUCAACCAUGUCAAACCAAAGGAUCAAGAAAUUGAAGAUUCCGUUCACUUGCCUUGGAGUUUGAGAGCACCCGGGACAUCUGGGAUUUGCUUCCUCGAAUCUCCAGC
rnacentral:lncRNA from 1 species